AUUGAACGCUGGCGGCAUGCCUUACACAUGCAAGUCGAACGGCAGCACGGGAGCAAUCCUGUGGCGAGUGGCGAACGGGUGAGUAAAGUAUCGGAACGUGCCCAGUCGUGGGGGAUAACGUAGCGAAAGUUACGCUAAUACCGCAUACGAUCUAUGGAUGAAAGCGGGGGAUCGCAAGACCUCGCGCGAUUGGAGCGGCCGAUAUCAGAUUAGGUAGUUGGUGGGGUAAAGGCUCACCAAGCCGACGAUCUGUAGCUGGUCUGAGAGGACGACCAGCCACACUGGGACGGAGACACGGCCCAGACUCCUACGGGAGGCAGCAGUGGGGAAUUUUGGACAAUGGGCGCAAGCCUGAUCCAGCCAUGCCGCGUGCAGGAUGAAGGCCUUCGGGUUGUAAACUGCUUUUGUACGGAACGAAAAGGUUUGACUUAAUACGUUGGACUCAUGACGGUACCGUAAGAAUAAGCACCGGCUAACUACGUGCCAGCAGCCGCCGUAA
rnacentral:rRNA from 1 species